rnacentral:rRNA from 1 species
GAUGAACGCUGGCGGCGUGCCUAUACAUGCAAGUCGAGCGAACAGACGAGGAGCUUGCUCCUCUGACGUUAGCGGCGGACGGGUGAGUAACACGUGGAUAACCUACCUAUAAGACUGGGAUAACUUCGGGAAACCGGAGCUAAUACCGGAUAAUAUAUUGAACCGCAUGGUUCAAUAGUGAAAGACGGUUUUGCUGUCACUUAUAGAUGGAUCCGCGCCGCAUUAGCUAGUUGGUAAGGUAACGGCUUACCAAGGCAACGAUGCGUAGCCGACCUGAGAGGGUGAUCGGCCACACUGGAACUGAGACACGGUCCAGACUCCUACGGGAGGCAGCAGUAGGGAAUCUUCCGCAAUGGGCGAGAGCCUGACGGAGCAACGCCGCGUGAGUGAUGAAGGUCUUCGGAUCGUAAAACUCUGUUAUUAGGGAAGAACAAAUGUGUAAGUAACUAUGCACGUCUUGACGGUACCUAAUCAGAAAGCCACGGCUAACUACGUG